rnacentral:ncRNA from 2 species
UAAUUCAUUAUAGCGCUGGAGCUUGCGUGACAUAGUACCACAUCUCGGUGGCAGCCUGUAUAAGGGCGUGUUGACGUAAAGCAGACGAGGAAGAGGUUUAUCGAGACGAUUCAGCGGAUACCUCUCGGCUACUCUGCGGCCGCUAAACAGCGACAAAACUGUAAGGUAACUUGCAGGACAAAGCGACUGGGGCAGAUUG